rnacentral:rRNA from 1 species
CCUGAACGCUGGCGGCGUGGCUAAGACAUGCAAGUCGUACGGGUACUCCGCAAGGGGUGCCAGUGGCGGACGGGUGAGUAAUGAAUCGCUAAUGUACCCCAGAGUCUGGGAUAGCUGCCCGAAAGGGCAGGUAAUACCAGAUGAUAUAUCCGGUUGGCAUCAACUGGAUCUCAAAGGAGCAAUACGCUCUGGGAGCAGGCGAUUUCGUAUCAGCUUGUUGGUGAGGUAACGGCUCACCAAGGCGACGACGCGUAGCUGGUCUGAGAGGACGGCCAGCCACAUUGGGACUGAGACACUGCCCAGACUCCUACGGGGGGCUGCAGUAACGAAUCUUCCGCAAUGCACGCAAGUGUGACGGAGCGACGCCGCGUGUGGGACGAAGUCCUCGG